GGAGAGAUGACCGAGUCGGCCGAAGGUGCACGCCUGCUAAGCGUGUGUACCCAAAUACGGGUACCGAGGGUUCGAAUCCCUCUCUCUCCGCCA
rnacentral:tRNA from 1 species